rnacentral:misc_RNA from 1 species
UGGAAGUAAAUUUCCAUUGUUAAAUUGUGUCCCUGGUCCAGCCGGAGUUUGUGGAGCCAUGUUUGAAGGGAAAGGAGCAGUAGAUCCUCCAUGCGUGAGGAAGUUACCACUGUUGAAUUGUGCAGGGUGAGGACUCAUGUUUGGAGCUACGUUUGGAGCUAUGGGUGCCACAGAUCCUGCCUGUGAAUUGCAGCUUCCAUAAAUACUAGCAGUUGGCUCUCCAGGUUGACCAGCCAAAGCUGAGAAACCUGUCUGUGUAGUUACAGUAGGUGAAGGACCAGACGGUGGGAGGAUGUCUGCCAGAAUAUCAGUUUCCUGGUGUGAAGUUGGUUCCUGAGGCAUAAACUGUGAGUUCAUUGAGGCUGGUUGAACAUUGACUGCUGAGUGAGUCAUGCCAGAGAAUGCAUCUCCAAAGUCGAAUUUAUUCACUGUGUCUCGUGGCACUGUUGGGGGCAUUUCAGCAUUCUGAUUCACAGUAGGCUGAAAAGUGGCUGCAGAGGCAGAAG